GUCAGAGAGAGACAUGCGCAGUGAGUGCCUCCCGUCUCUUCUACCCGAACCCCCCCUCCCCCCCCAAGCAGAGAGACCCCAGCAGCAGCAGCAGCUGAUGAUGAAGAGAGAGGCAGUGGCAGAGGGGGGGCACCUUUUAUUUCUAUUUUUAAAGGGACAGGACACUAAUUUUACCCCACUUCAACCUUGAAUUGAGGGGGGUGGGGGGAAGGCGGCUGAGUUCCUUCCCCCACCCUCCAGCCCUGAGACCUGAGAGGGGGAUUGAGCCUGAGAGAGAAGGAGAAGGAGUUUCUUCUUCUUCAAAAAUCCCCCAUCCACGACUCCUACCCCCUCACCCCUCCACUAGCCUCCCUCCCGAGCCCCCUCCAUCCUCCUCCUCUUUGGCCGUGAAAGGAGAGAAAGAGACCAAAAGCCUCUUAGCAACACAGACCCUUCUCUGCUGCUGCUGCUGCUGCUGCUGCUGCUGCUACUGCUGCUGCUGCUGCUGCUGCUGCUGCUGCUGCUGCUGCUGCUGCUGCUGCUACUGCUGCUGCUGCUUGGCCCUGGCUGGAGACAUCUCACUACACCCGGGAGCAGCCACUUCCCCAGCUCUCCUCCUCCUUCGCCUCCUCCUCCUCCUCCACUCCCCCCCCUUUAUUACCCUUUGUGUCAUCCUCCACAGCUCCAGGGAACGCACUCAAAAGUGGGGGGCAGGAAAGAUGCUUAUUGAAGAUAACAGUUUCUGCGUAUGGGAAGUAGAUAUUGAAGGGUAUAUGGUUUACAGACAAGAUCUUUAAAAAAUAGACACUCAAGGACCAAGGAAAUAUAUACCAGAAGCCAAGAGCACAGAAUAUUUUUCUUCAUCAAUCUGUAGAACUGUGAUACUCCUCUAAUUCCAUCAAACACAAAGGAAUGAUCACCUUGACAGAUGGCCACGGAGGAUGUCAACAAUUUUUUGGAGGCAAGCAAUGAAAUAUUUGUGCUAUGUGUUUUCUAUUAUUAAGUAUGUAGAAACAAGUAGAAUUAUCUUAUGUUUUAAUGAAAAAAAAAAGUAGUCUUUAGUAUAGCAAUUUAUAUAAGCAUAGCUAUUUCUUUUUCUUUUUCUUUUUUUCCUGAGUACUGCUGCAUGUCAAAAAUUAUAGUAAGCUGCUUUUGCCCUUACCUGGAGUACUAUAUAGUAUAGGACUACAUUAAUCCCU
rnacentral:lncRNA from 1 species